CCGUCAAAAAUCCAAUGCUGUGUGCCUGAAUGUGGCAACACCGAACAGGGGCAACCCGGAAAGGUGUUCUAUGAGUUCCCCAGGGAGCCAUUAUGGCGUUCAAAAUGGCUACGUCUGAUCAACCGUCUCGACAUGGCACCGACAGCCGAAGACCGGGUCUGUUCAGACCACUUCUCCCCUAAUCAGUACACCGUCAAGAGAGCGUUGAGGGGGGACGCACUACCGACGAUCGACAAGCAGCCAACGGCAACGCCUCAAAUGAAAAGGAAACCAGAAGAUACGAACGUGCCAACCAACAGCAAACAACCACGCCUAGAGACACAACCCGACAUAGAACA